ensembl:lncRNA
CCCCACAACUUACCCCUCACCACCUCCCUACUCACUGCCAGCCCCUAUAGGGUUCCUAUAGCGCCCCCCCCCCCCCCCCCCCCCACCCCACAGCUAUUCUUAGCCCUGACCUUUGCUAUGGGCCAAACCCGGCCCCACAACUUCCAAUAGGGGACCCGAAAAGGGGUCUGUCUGGGACCUAUAGGUUUCCCUUUUUUGGGGGGGGUCCCCUAUAGGGGAUACGUGGAUUUGGAUCAAGUAGGGCCCCUUGUAGGAAUCGAGGGGCCCUAUAGGGGUCCUGUUAGGGAUUGAAGGCCUCUAUGGGGCCUCUAUGGGGUUCCUAUAGGAGAAUUAAGGUCACUGGAGGGUCCCUAUAGGGUCCCUAUAGCGGAAUGGAGCCCGGAGGGGGCACCUAUAGGGUUCCUAUGAGGGAAUUGAGGCCACUGAGGAUCCCUAUAGGAUUCCUGUUUAGGAUUGAGAGCUCCUAUGGGGUUUCUAUGGAGUCCCUAUAGGAGAACAACGGCGGCUGGGUGUCCCCAUGGGGUUUCUAUAGGGCUUCUCGGGGUCUGAUGGCCCCUAUGGGGUCCCUAUAGGGGAUUGAAGGCCACUGGGGGUCCUUAUGGGGUUCCUAUAGGAGAAUGGGGGUCAGUGAGGGCCCCUAUGGGGUUUCUAUAGGGUCACUAUAAGGGAAUAAAGGCCACUGGGGGUCCCUAUGGGGUUCCCAUAGGAGAAUGGGGGUCAGUGAGGGCCCCUAUGGGGUUUCUAUAGGGCCCCUAUAAGGGAAUAAAGGCCACUGGGGGCCCUUAUGGGGUUCCUAUGGGAGAAUGGGGGUCUGUGAAGGCCCCUAUGGGGUUUCUAUAGGGCCCCUAUAGGGGAAUGAAGGCCCCUAGGAGUCCUUAUGGGGUUCCUAUGGGAGAAUGGGGGUCAGUGAGGGCCCCUAUGGGGUUUCUAUAGGGUCACUAUAAUGGAAUAAAGGCCACUGGGGGUCCCCAUGGGGUUCCCAUAGGAGAAUGGGGGUCAGUGAGGGCCCCUAUGAGGUUUCUAUAGGGUCACUAUAAGGGAAUGAAGGCCACUGGGGGUCCCCAUGGAGUUCCUAUAGGAGAAUGGGGGUCAGUGAGGGCCCCUAUGGGGUUUCUAUAGGGUCACUAUAAGGGAAUAAAGGCCACUUUCGGCCCUUAUGGGGUUCCUAUGGGAGAAUGGGGGUCUGUGAAGGCCCCUAUGAGGUUUCUAUAGGGUCACUAUAAGGGAAUAAAGGCCACUUUGGGAGUCCUUAUGGGGUUCCUAUGGGAGAAUGGGGGUCUGUGAAGGCCCCUAUGGGGUUUCUAUAGGGCCCCUAUAGGGGAAUAAAGGCCACUGGGGGUCUCUAUGGGGUUCCCAGAGGGGAAUGGGUGUCAGUGAGGGCCCCUAUGGGGUUUCUAUAGGGUCACUAUAAGGGAAUAAAGGCCACUGGGGGUCCUUAUAGGGUUCCCAUAGGGGAAUGGGGGUGAGUGAGCACCCCUGUGAGGAUCCUAUAGGGUCCUCAUAAGCGAAAAGAACCCGGUGGGGAUUCCUAUAGGGUCCCUGUUAAUGGCUGAGGGCCUUUAUGGGGUUCCUAUGAGGUCCCUCACCCGUCCAUAGGCGCCGCCGCCGCCCCUAUAGUGCUCCCAGCGAGGGACCCCCCCAAACCCGCCCCCCCAUUAGUUCCUUCCGCCUUUUGCCCCGCCCCUUCCGGCGCCGAGCCAAUCAGCGCGCCCCGGCGGGAGGAGUGGGCGGGGACACGAAGCUAUAAAGGGAAGGGAGCG